AACGAACGCUGGCGGCAGGCUUAACACAUGCAAGUCGAGCGCCCCGCAAGGGGAGCGGCAGACGGGUGAGUAACGCGUGGGAAUCUACCCUUUUCUACGGAAUAACGCAGGGAAACUUGUGCUAAUACCGUAUGAGCCCUUCGGGGGAAAGAUUUAUCGGGAAAGGAUGAGCCCGCGUUGGAUUAGCUAGUUGGUGGGGUAAAGGCCUACCAAGGCGACGAUCCAUAGCUGGUCUGAGAGGAUGAUCAGCCACAUUGGGACUGAGACACGGCCCAAACUCCUACGGGAGGCAGCAGUGGGGAAUAUUGGACAAUGGGCGCAAGCCUGAUCCAACCAUGCCGCGUGAGUGAUGAAGGCCCUAGGGUUGUAAAGCUCUUUCACCGGUGAAGAUAAUGACGGUAACCGGAGAAGAAGCCCCGGCUAACUUCGUGCCAGCCGCCGCCGUAA
rnacentral:rRNA from 1 species